CCUACGACGGCGGGGCCGCACCACGCGGAUGCGCCCGUGUCGGCUCGGCCCCGGCUCUCCGGCGGUGCCUCGGAGGGCUCCCGCAGGAGUUCCGACAGCGCCAGCCUCUACGACCUGGGCUCCAGCGGCCGUCCCGGCAGCCGGACGAGCACGUUGUCAUCGGCGGAGUCAACGGCGGGUCCGGAGCAUCCGUCUGGGUCGGCAGCCGCGGCUGGUGGCCGACUCCCCAGCUCCGAGGCCGAGGUCGCCCUUCGAAAGCAGCGCGCGUCCGAGCGGCCUCCAGUGAAACCCACGUCCGGUUCCGCUCUGAGACUGGCGCGAGGAGCGACGCCGCACACGAUCCUCCGCCAAUCAGGACAGGGACGCGCCCCACCAGGCCUGUUUCGGAGUGGAGGGACGGAGCGCGCCCUGGCCUUCCCGCCGUCACAGCCUCGACCCCGCCAGCGGGGGCAACCCGAGUCGCGGCGGGCGGC